rnacentral:rRNA from 1 species
UACGGAGGGUGCAAGCGUUAUCCGGAUUCACUGGGUUUAAAGGGUGCGUAGGUGGGCAGUUAAGUCAGUGGUGAAAUCUCCGGGCUCAACCCGGAAACUGCCAUUGAUACUAUCUGUCUUGAAUAUCGUGGAGGUAAGCGGAAUAUGUCAUGUAGCGGUGAAAUGCUUAGAUAUGACAUAGAACACCAAUUGCGAAGGCAGCUUACUACCCGAAUAUUGACACUGAGGCACGAAAGCGUGGGUAGCAAACAGG